rnacentral:rRNA from 1 species
AGAGUUUGAUCCUGGCUCAGAAUGAACGCUGGCGGCGUGCCUAACACAUGCAAGUCGAACGAGAAAACGGGCUUCGGCCUGUGAGUAAAGUGGCAUACGGGUGAGUAACACGUGGGUAACCUGCCCGGAGGUGGGGGACAACUCUUCGAAAGGGGAGCUAAUACCGCAUAACAUCCCGAGCACUUCGGUGCACGGGAUCAAAGUUUGCCUCUGUUUCAUGCAAACGCCACCGGAGGGACCCGCGCCCCAUUAGCUAGAUGGUGAGGUAAUGGCUCACCAUGGCGACGAUGGGUAGCCGGCCUGAGAGGGUGAUCGGCCACACUGGAACUGAGAUACGGUCCAGACUCCUACGGGAGGCAGCAGUGAGGAAUUUUGCGCAAUGGGGGAAACCCUGACGCAGCGACGCCGCGUGGGGGACGAAGGCCUUCGGGUCGUAAACUCCUGUCAAGAGGGACGAAUCCCGGUUGGAUGAAUAAGUCGACCGGUGACGGUACCUCUGAAGAGCCC